GUGAGGAAUAUUGCGCAAUGGGCGAAAGCCUGACGCAGCCAUGCCGCGUGAAUGAUGAAGGUCUUAGGAUUGUAAAAUUCUUUCACCGGGGACGAUAAUGACGGUACCCGGAGAAGAAGCUCCGGCUAACUUCGUGCCAGCAGCCGCGGUAAUACGAAGGGGGCUAGCGUUGCUCGGAAUUACUGGGCGUAAAGGGCGCGUAGGCGGACAGCUUAGUCAGAGGUGAAAGCCCAGGGCUCAACCUUGGAAUUGCCUUUGAUACUGGCUGUCUUGAGUUUGGGAGAGGUGAGUGGAACUCCGAGUGUAGAGGUGAAAUUCGUAGAUAUUCGGAAGAACACCAGUGGCGAAGGCGACUCACUGGCCCAAUACUGACGCUGAGGCGCGAAAGCGUGGGGAGCAAACAGGAUUAGAAACCCGUGUAGUCC
rnacentral:rRNA from 1 species